AGUUCGGCUCAGCACCUAUAUCCCAUCCAAGACAAAGGCACCACUUCAAUGACAGGUUACCAGUCUUUGGUUGGGAAAGAAGAUGAGACUGCUGCUUGAAUGUACACCUCUAGGCAGAGCUGAACAUCCUUUAGAAAACUGCUGGUGGUCUGAAAGUUGCACAUCUUCCAGCAUGUUCUUGCUGCCCAGUGGAGGUUCCUGAUCUGGCCAUCUGCAGUGUCACGCUCCGUGUAUUUGACAAGCUGAGUUGGACACUCUGUGUGGUAGAGUGUCAGUUUGUCAAAUACCCCAAGUGUGGCUCAUGCCUAUCAGCUCCAGGUCCAGGACAGAGCACAUAGCCUGCUGCCUACAUAUGAAUGCUUAUGAAACAUGAAGCUCUCUGGUGUUAUUCUAUGUCUUUAAGGGAACUAUAACAUUUAUUCAGAGAACAUCAGAGUAGGAACGAUGCAGCUCUGGGGUCUACAAGUCUGCCAGAAUAGCAGAAUUUUCAUACAAGCAUCAUGAAUUCUAUGAGAAAGUAGGAAAUAAAUAUCCACUGUCUGGCCUUCGGAGCACAUCUUAAGCUACCUACAUUUUCUCUUUUCCACUUUGCUUUUAUCAUUCUUAAAAGAACCUUCUUGUUUAUCUUCAUUGGGCUUUCAGACACUACCAAAUUCCAAUUCCUCUUGGCACUAUUGAAAGUUAACCUAUACUUUUCUUUACUCCUUGGCUAACCACAUACUGGUAUGUGCUAUUAUAUGUCCUACCAUCCAACACAUCUUCUAAAGUUGUCAGUGAAUUUUUCCAGGGUAUGUUCUUGAAUUCCCUAUUAUAUUGUAAGAAUCUAGAGCUUAUUAUAUUCAGUUGAUUGCUGUCUCUCAUACCAUUGUCCAACAUUUUAAUUAUUAAUAAAUAUUUACCAAUUAA
rnacentral:lncRNA from 1 species